ensembl:snRNA U6 U6 spliceosomal RNA
GUGCUCACUUUGGCAGCACAUGUACUGAAAGUGGAAUGACACAGAGGUGAGCAUGGUCCCCAUGCAAGGAUGACCACAAAUUCAUGAAGCUCUAUAUUGUUUU